rnacentral:rRNA from 1 species
CCUACGGGAGGCAGCAGUGGGGAAUAUUGGGCAAUGGAGGAAACUCUGACCCAGCGACGCCGCGUGCGGGAUGAAGGCCUUCGGGUUGUAAACCGCUUUCAGCAGGGAAGAAGCGAAAGUGACGGUACCUGCAGAAGAAGCACCGGCUAACUAUGUGCCAGCAGCCGCGGUAAUACAUAGGGUGCAAGCGUUGUCCGGAAUUAUUGGGCGUAAAGAGCUCGUAGGUGGUUCGUCACGUCGGAUGUGAAAAUCUGGGGCUUAACCCCAGACCUGCAUUCGAUACGGGCGAGCUUGAGUAUGGUAGGGGAGUCUGGAAUUCCUGGUGUAGCGGUGGAAUGCGCAGAUAUCAGGAGGAACACCAAUGGCGAAGGCAGGACUCUGGGCCAUUACUGACACUGAGGAGCGAAAGCGUGGGGAGCGAACAGGAUUAGAUACCCUGGUAGUCCACGCCGUAAACGGUGGGCACUAGUUGUGGGGACCUUCCACGGUCUCUGCGACGCAGCUAACGCAUUAAGUGCCCCGCCUGGGGAGGUACGAUCGCAGAAUAAACUACAAUAGAAUUAGACGGCGUGAGACGUGCCGAACGGACGACGACGAGGGAGGUUAGG